UUUGGACACAGUCAACAGAAGUUUUGAGCAACACAAUACCUCUCAAAUGCAGUCCCUGACACUAUAGUGGAGGCACUAUCAGGGAAGUCUUAAUUAAAAAUUCCCAGGCCCCACCCACCCCACACUCACUGCAUCAUAAACAACCGUGGUGCUCCAGUAAUCUGUCUACCAGCUUUUCUAAAGUGACAGUGAUGUUUGAGAACCACUCUACAGAAAGACUAACAGAAAGGAAGUUCAUUGAGAAAUAGUCAGCAAAAAGUUCUUGUAUUUUUGUUUCAGAAGAAAAAUUAGAUGAAAAAAAAGCUUCUGUGAGAAAAUAAAUGGUAAAUUGCAAGAUGUACUCUCAGCAUUAUUUCUAGUCACAUGAAUUUGGACAUUUAAUCUUGGAUAUGAUCAUCAGUAAAAACAAUAUUAGCCUAUACCUGCUUUCCACUGGGUUGAGAAAAUAACUUUUUGAAAAAACAUUCUGAAAGUGGUAAAAUGCAAAAUAACACUUUUGUACUUGCAGCUACAAACUGAUGAUUGCUUUGGUUGGUCAAGUUAGCCCCCUAAAAUGCACAGAGAACCAAAAAAAAAAAAGGAAUUUGACUUCAUUGUGUGCACUCCAUUAGCACUCUGUUUGACUUAAUUCUGCUCAGUGCAUUAAGCUGGAGAAUAUCUUCACUAUCAAGGUUAAAGUUCAUGCCCCUCUCCUAUUUAAUACCUUCUUUGCCAGGGUCUGGUGUUCCAUGUGACUUCAGGACCCUGGACUUUGUACCCUACCAAAUGACCUAUCUCCUGCACUCCAGACCAAAUCUAGUUAAUCUUCCCAAAUUCUCUAUGAAAAUCUUAGCUGAAACUGGUAUGUCAACUAAUUAUGGAGACCUCUGCCUAUUGUUUUUCAGUGUUUUAAACUUUUUUGCCCUUAUUUUGUCCAAUAAGAUAUUUUAUUUUAAAACUCUUAAGGCUGGGAAAUGGCAUAGUGAUGAUUAUGAAAAAAAAAAAAACUUUUUCUUUCCUGAAGCAGCAAAAGUCCCUGGUUGAAUUCCCAGUACCACUGAGAGAGCUGAACUGUGCUAUGGUUAAAAAAAGAAGAAGAAGAGGAAAGAAA